rnacentral:rRNA from 1 species
GAUGAACGCUGGCGGCGUGCCUAAUACAUGCAAGUCGAGCGAACGGACGAGAAGCUUGCUUCUCUGAUAUUAGCGGCGGACGGGUGAGUAACACGUGGAUAACCUACCUAUAAGACUGGGAUAACUUCGGGAAACCGGAGCUAAUACCGGAUGAUAUUUUGAACCGCAUGGUUCAAAAGUGAAAGACGGUCUUGCUGUCACUUAUAGAUGGAUCCGCGCUGCAUUAGCUAGUUGGUAAGGUAACGGCUUACCAAGGCAACGAUGGAUAGCCGACCUGAGAGGGGGAUCGGCCACACUGGAACUGAGACACGGUCCAGACUCCUACGGGAGGCAGCAGUAGGGAAUCUUCCGCAAUGGGCGAAAGCCUGACGGAGCAACGCCGCGUGAGUGAUGAAGGUCUUCGGAUCGUAAAACUCUGUUAUUAGGGAAGAACAUAUGUGUAAGUAACUGUGCACAUCUUGACGGUACCUAAUCAGAAAGCCACGGCUAACUACGUG